rnacentral:lncRNA from 10 species
CAUGAGGCUCAUUCAUCUAUGCCCAGGAUUCUCAAAGAACCCCGGCCCCAGCCUGCUCUCUGUCAUGUGCUGAGCCCCAAGCUUACCCAUGCCUCCUGCCGUGGGGACCAGAGAAUGAGAAGACCACCAGGGAGACCCGCCCUGGAGACCAUGGUGUGCUGCUGACUCACGAGAAUGACAUCACCAAGUGUGCCCUCUGUCCUGUCACUUGGAGCUCCUGGAAGCACAGAAUGUCCCUCAGCCUGGACACUGCCCCUGGCCUGGGGAGGUAGAUGCUCCCCACCUCCCCUCCUGCCCUAGUGCAGAGGAAAGAAGAUCAAAUCUGGAGUCAGCAGACAUAGGAGUCUAAUCCCUGGUUCUGAUAUAUCUAGGCAGUCAUUGCCUUAGCCACACUCAGCCUUAAUCUCCUGAUCUGCAAAAUGGGGAGAACCACACUAACUUUGCAGUUUGCGGUGAGAGUCAAGGAAACCCACGUGAGAAGUGUCUGGCACUGUGCCUCGCAUGUAGUAAGUACUCACUAAAUACUCG